AGCGAACGCUGGCGGCAGGCCUAACACAUGCAAGUCGAACGGCAGCACAGUAAGAGCUUGCUCUUACGGGGGGGGAGUGGCGGACGGGGGAGGAAUACAUCGUAACCUACUCUUUCGUGGGGGAUAACGGAGGGAAACUUACGCUAAUACGGCAUACGCCCUACGGGUGAAAGCAGGGGACCUGCGGACCUUGCGCGACUGAAUGAGCCGAUGUCGGGUUAGCUAGUUGGGGGGGUAAUGGCCCACCAUGGCGGCGAUCCGUAGCGGGUCUGCGGGGAUGGUCGGCCGCCCUAGAGCGGGGCCGCCGCCCCGACUCCUACGAGAGGCAGCAGUGGGGAAUAUUAGACAAUGGUCGCAAGCCUGAUCCAGCCGUGCCGCGUGGGUGGAGAAGGCCUUCGGGUUGUAAUGCCCUUUUGUUGGGAGAGAAGAGCGGCAGGUUCGUACCCCGCUGUUCUGACGGUACCCGGAGAAGAAGCACCGGCUAACUUCGUG
rnacentral:rRNA from 1 species